AGUGAACGCUGGCGGUAGGCCUAACACAUGCAAGUCGAACGGCAGCACAGUAAGAGCUUGCUCUUACGGGUGGCGAGUGGCGGACGGGUGAGGAAUACAUCGGAAUCUACUUUUUCGUGGGGGAUAACGUAGGGAAACUUACGCUAAUACCGCAUACGACCUACGGGUGAAAGCAGGGGAUCUUCGCACCUUGCGCGAUUGAAUGAGCCGAUGUCGGAUUAGCUAGUUGGCGGGGUAAAGGCCCGCCAAGGCGACGAUCCGUAGCGGGUCUGAGAGGAUGAUCAGCCACACUGGAACUGAGACACGGUCCAGACUCCUACGGGAGGCAGCAGUGGGGAAUAUUGGACAAUGGGCGCAAGCCUGAUCCAGCCAUACCGCGUGGGUGAAGAAGGCCUUCGGGUUGUAAAGCCCUUUUGUUGGGAAAGAAAAGCAGCAUGUUAAUACCCCGCUGUUCUGACGGUACCCAAAGAAUAAGCACCGGCUAACUUCGUG
rnacentral:rRNA from 1 species